AACGUAGGUGGCAAGCGUUAUCCGGAUUCACUGGGCGUAAAGCGCAUGCAGGUGGCACAGUAAGUAGGGCAUGAAAACUCCUGGCUUAACUGGGAGAGGCUGUCCUAGACUGCUGAGCUUGAGGGUGAGAGAGGGAAGUGGAAUUGCCGGUGUAGUGGUGAAAUGCGUAGAGAUCGGCAGGAACACCAGUGGCGAAGGCGGCCCUCUGGGUCGACCCUGACGCUGAGGCGCGAAAGCGUGGGGAGCGAACGGG
rnacentral:rRNA from 1 species